rnacentral:rRNA from 1 species
CCUACGGGUGGCAGCAGUGAGGAAUAUUGGUCAAUGGGCGCGAGCCUGAACCAGCCAAGUAGCGUGAAGGAAGACUGCCCUACGGGUUGUAAACUUCUUUUAUAAAGGAAUAAAGUGAGGCACGUGUGCCUUUUUGUAUGUACUUUAUGAAUAAGGAACGGCUAACUCCGUGCCAGCAGACGCGGCAAUUCGGAGGGUCCGAGCGUUAUCCGGAUUUAUGGGGUUUAAAGGGAGCGUAGGCUGUGAUGUAAGUCAGCGGUGAAAUGCCCCCGCUCAACGGGGUGAAGUGCCAUUGAUACUGCCUUGCUGGAAUGCGGAUGCCGUGGGAAGAAUGUGUGGUGUAGCGGUGAAAUGCAUAGAUAUCACACAGAACACCGAUUGCGAAGGCAUCUCACGAAUCCGCGAUUGACGCUGAUGCACGAAAGCGUGGGUAUCAAACAGGAUUAGAUACCCUUGUAGUC